rnacentral:lncRNA from 1 species
CCUGUUAUAAUAGCCAACAUAAAACAAAGAUUUAAAUUACAUGUGGUAAAAUCAACCCAUUUUUUAGUAAUCCGCCCAAUUUUAAACCGUUUAGGUCAUGACCUAUUUGUUGACUUGAUCUAACAGGUUAAAUUUGAAAUGAUCCAUCAAAUUAUUAGGUCAAAAUGUAACCCGAACCUAAACAAACAAAUUUGGAAGAAUUUAAGCAAAUGAUUUGUAAAAAAAAUAUAUUCGCUUUUACAACUUCUUUCAAUAAGGAGGUAAGAUUGUCUCGUGUUGGACGGAUUGAGUAUGACAAUGACCCGUUAUUCACCCAUCUUAAGAAAAAGGGUAGUCUGAUUCACUAAGCUCCCGCUAUGCGUGAGGUCCGAGAAAGAGCGGUACCCAAGAGUUUAUUGUAUGCAACCUUACCCUGCAUUUCUGCAAGAGGCUGUUUCCACAAUGUACUAAUUAACCAGUUUAGACCUGCCCAAGUUUGACUCGUCCAUUUGCCAUCUCCAAUUUAAAGCAACAUACCAUAUACAAUCUCCAUUCAACAAAUAAAAAACCACUGAAUUAUACACACCUGAAUCUCCUGAGGCUGGCUGCUAAGUACAAACAAAUCAGCACCAAGAUGUUGAAGAGCUUCAUCUUUUUUACCAAUAGAGGUACUAAUAACUGUGACUUUAGCUCCAAAAGCCUUAGCAAAUUUCACAGCCAUAUGACCAAGACCACCAAGACCAACAACACCAAUAUGCAUUCCAGGCUUAUCUAGUCCAAAAUAUUUCAUUGGACUAUAAGUUGUGAUCCCAGCACACAGUAAAGGAGCUGCUUCCAUUGGCAAAUUCUCAGGCCAAU